AGAAAAUUUUAAAAUGGAUGUGAGGAGUUAGAUGUUUUGAUUAUAGUAGUUGUUUUGGCUCGCUUAAUUUAUUUUUGAUGGGCAUAAUAAAUUAGCUAUUAUGCUAUUUUGGAUGAAAGCAAAGCAUAUUAUCAUUUUGUAUAUUAAUUGAACACAUACUAAUUUUGUAAUCAAAAUUUUCUCCAAUUAACUUUUUAAAAACUAGUCUUUUGAGUUUAAAUCACUAUUUCAAUCUAAAUACAAAAUACAGAUAUUAAGUUGUAAC
rnacentral:lncRNA from 1 species